UACGGAGGGAGCUAGCGUUGUUCGGAAUUACUGGGCGUAAAGCGCACGUAGGCGGCUUUGCAAGUUAGAGGUGAAAGCCCGGGGCUCAACUCCGGAAUUGCCUUUAAAACUGCAUCGCUAGAAUUGUGGAGAGGUAAGUGGAAUUCCGAGUGUAGAGGUGAAAUUCGUAGAUAUUCGGAAGAACACCAGUGGCGAAGGCGACUUACUGGACACAUAUUGACGCUGAGGCGCGAAAGCGUGGGGAGCAAACAGG
rnacentral:rRNA from 1 species